rnacentral:rRNA from 1 species
ACGCUAGCGGGAGGCCUAACACAUGCAAGCCGAGCGGUAUUUGUUCUUCGGGACAGAGAGAGCGGCGUACGGGUGCGGAACACGUGUGCAACCUGCCUUUAUCUGGGGGAUAGCCUUUCGAAAGGAAGAUUAAUACCCCAUAAUAUAUUGAAUGGCAUCAUUCGAUAUUGAAAACUCCGGUGGAUAGAGAUGGGCACGCGCAAGAUUAGAUAGUUGGUGAGGUAACGGCUCACCAAGUCAAUGAUCUUUAGGGGGCCUGAGAGGGUGAUCCCCCACACUGGUACUGAGACACGGACCAGACUCCUACGGGAGGCAGCAGUGAGGAAUAUUGGACAAUGGGUGCAAGCCUGAUCCAGCCAUCCCGCGUGAAGGACUAAGGCCCUAUGGGUUGUAAACUUCUUUUAUACUGGGAUAAACCUACUUACGUGUAAGUAGCUGAAGGUACAGUAUGAAUAAGCACCGGCUAACUCCGUGCCAGCAGCCGCGGUAAUACGGAGGGUGCAAGCGUUAUCCGGAUUUAUUGGGUUUAAAGGGUCCGUAGGCGGAUUCGUAAGUCAGUGGUGAAAUCUCAUAGCUUAACUAUGAAACUGCCAUUGAUACUGCGAGUCUUGAGUGAGAUUGAGGUAGCUGGAAUAAGUAGUGUAGCGGUGAAAUGCAUAGAUAUUACUUAGAACACCAAUUGCGAAGGCAGGUUACCAAGUCUUAACUGACGCUGAGGGACGAAAGCGUGGGGAGCGAAC